GCGUGUUAAAAACACAGGUUCCUGGACCUCACCCCUAGAAAUCUGAUUCAGAAGGUCUGAGGUGAGGCCCAAUACCCCGCAUCUGCAAUAAUUCUGAUGCAAGAGGUCACUGGUGAUUCCACAUGCAGCUGCCUGUAAGAACCACAGCGAUCUCAUUUCCCCAGACUUGUUGUGAAGAAGGAAGAAAAUGGAAGAUGGGGAAGGGUAUGGGUGACACCCAUGGGGACAGACGGAGAGUCAGAAUCAGCAUGUGUGUGCAAUGAUGUACCUUGGCUGGAAACCCCAGUGGCAUGGCUACAAGACACAGGGGCAUCCAAAGAAGAUAUAAGACAAGCAUAGGAGGAGGUGGAUGGACCCCUACUCCAACCCGGGUCCCAUGCGCUGAGGCCCAAGAGAUGGUCUCCAGCAGGGAGCUAAGGCUGAGCGUUGGGGAGGGAUCCCCCCUGCUGACCACGCACCCUUUCCAGAUGAGAACACAGGCAUGAGAAAGAGAAGCAAUUUGACUAAGAUGGAAAGACAGAGUUUACAGUCCAACAGGGAGACUGGCAUGAAACAAACAUAGAAAUAAAUACACAGCCGCAAAGAAUGGAGGAGAAACUGAGGCUCUAACAGGCUCAGUAAAUUGCCUAAAGCCACAUGGAUACAGAGAGGAGAAGGAACUGGAGCUGCAUUGUCCAAUAUGGUAGCCAUGAGGCACAUGUGGCUAUUGAGCACUUGAAAUGUGGCUAAUCCCAAUUGAACUGCACUGUAAGUGGAAAACAACACACUGGAUUUCAAAGAUGUAGUACAAGACAAAAAAAGAGGAUCUAAAACAUCUCAUUAAUGGCUCUUUGUAGUACUUACUACGUGUUGAAAUUAUAGUUUGUGAAAUAAAAUAUUUCAUGUGAAAUAUAUUGUGUGAAAUAAAAUAUUAUUAAAAUUAA
rnacentral:lncRNA from 1 species